rnacentral:rRNA from 1 species
AGCAUUACUCAUUUUGACGUUUAGCUGCAGAAGAAGCACCGGCUAACUCCGUGCCAGCAGCCGCGGUAAUACGGAGGGUUGCGAGCGUUUAAUCGGAAUUACUGGGCGUAAAGCGCAUGCAGGUGGUUUGUUAAGUCAGAUGUGAAAGCCCGGGGCUCAACCUCGGAAUUUGCAUUUGAAACUGGCAAACUAGAGUACUGUAGAGGGGGUAGAAUUUCAGGUGUAGCGGUGAAAUGCGUAGAGAUCUGAAGGAAUACCGGUGGCGAAGGCGGCCCCCCUGGACAGAUACUGACACUCAGAUGCGAAAGCGUGGGGAGCAAACAGGAUUAGAUACCCUGGUAG